GCGUAAGCGCACGCAGGCGGUCUGUCAAGUCGGAUGUGAAAUCCCCGGGCUCAACCUGGGAACUGCAUUCGAAACUGGCAAGCUAGAGUCUUGUAGAGGGGGGUAGAAUUCCCUGUGUAGCGGUGAAAUGCGUAGAUAUCUGGAGGAAUACCGGUGGCGAAGGCGGCCCCCUGGACUGAUACUGACGCUCAGGUGCGAAAGCGUGGGGAGCAAACAGGAUUAGAUACCCUGGUAGUCCACGCCGUAAACGAUGUCGAUUUGGAGGUUGUGUCCUUGAGGCGUGGCUUCCGGAGCUAACGCGUUAAAUCGACCGCCUGGGGAGUACGGCCGCAAGGUUAAAACUCAAAUGAAUUGACGGGGGCCCGCACAAGCGGUGGAGCAUGUGGUUUAAUUCGAUGCAACGCGAAGAACCUUACCUGGUCUUGACAUCCACAGAACUUUCCAGAGAUGGAUUGGUGCCUUCGGGAACUGUGACACAGGUGCUGCAUGGCUGUCGUCAGCUCGUGUUGUGAGAUGUUGGGUUAAGUCCCGCAACGAGCGCAACCCUUGUCCUUAGUUGCCAGC
rnacentral:rRNA from 1 species